rnacentral:rRNA from 1 species
GGGGAAUUUUCCGCAAUGGGCGAAAGCCUGACGGAGCAAUACCGCGUGAGGGAGGAAGGCUCUUGGGUUGUAAACCUCUUUUCUCAGGGAAUAAGAACUGAAGGUACCUGAGGAAUCAGCAUCGGCUAACUCCGUGCCAGCAGCCGCGGUAAUACGGAGGAUGCAAGCGUUAUCCGGAAUGAUUGGGCGUAAAGCGUCCGCAGGUGGCUUAUCAAGUCUGCUGUCAAAGAGUUUGGCUCAACCAAAUAAAGGCAGUGGAAACUGACAGACUGGAGUGCGGUAAGGGCAGAGGGAAUUCCUGGUGUAGCGGUGAAAUGCGUAGAGAUCAGGAAGAACACCGGUGGCGAAAGCGCUCUGCUGGGCCGUAACUGACACUGAGGGACGAAAGCUAGGGGAGCGAAUGGGAUUAGAUACCCCAUAGUCA